rnacentral:rRNA from 1 species
GACGAACGCUGGCGGCGUGCCUAAUACAUGCAAGUAGAACGCUGAAGAGAGGAGCUUGCUCUUCUUGGAUGAGUUGCGAACGGGUGAGUAACGCGUAGGUAACCUGCCUUGUAGCGGGGGAUAACUAUUGGAAACGAUAGCUAAUACCGCAUAACAAUGGAUGACACAUGUCAUUUAUUUGAAAGGGGCAAUUGCUCCACUACAAGAUGGACCUGCGUUGUAUUAGCUAGUAGGUGAGGUAAUGGCUCACCUAGGCGACGAUACAUAGCCGACCUGAGAGGGUGAUCGGCCACACUGGGACUGAGACACGGCCCAGACUCCCACGGGAGGCAGCAGUAGGGAAUCUUCGGCAAGGGGGGCAACCCUGACCGAGCAACGCCGCGGGAGUGAAGAAGGGUUUCGGAUCGUAAAGCUCCGUUGUAAGUCAAGAACGGGUGUGAGAGUGGAAAGUUCACACUGUGACGGUAGCUUACCAGAAAGGGACGGCUAACUACGUG